AAGUCGUAACAAGGUUUCCGUAGGUGAACCUGCGGAAGGAUCAUUAACACGUUAUCCACGUUUAAAUAAAUCUUAUCAACAACACCACGAACUGUGCUCCCUGUCGGCCCACUUCACUACGUACACUUUCCGGUUAUGGUGGGUUCAUGGCUGCUUGCUUGCAGGCGAAGUGAACAUAUCGGAGAGAGCGUUUCUGGCCAGCUUGCUAGGUCCGGGGUAGUGAGACAUAUGUCGGCAGGCUUAUUGAUCCCAAGCUCGUAUGCGCAAGCAUUUCCCAACCCCCUUGGGCAGCGGAUGAUCACCAUACCCUAUUCACAAUUUUCAUACCAGUUGACUAAUUACUAUAUUCUUCGGGAGAAAUCCUGUCGAAUUACUAAGAUUUUAUCUUAACUAAGCACAACUCUUAGCAAUGGAUAUCUUGGUUCUC
rnacentral:misc_RNA from 1 species